GCCCAGGUGGCGGAAUUGGUAGACGCGCUAGCUUCAGGUGCUAGUGGCCGUAAGGUCGUGGGAGUUCAAGUCUCCCCCUGGGCACCA
rnacentral:tRNA from 2 species